GAGCCUGCCGGGCGUGUCACCACCCCGCACCUGGAGUCAUGCGUGUGCACCACCUGAGCACCUGGGAGGCUAGUUUGCAUCAAGGGGACAUCUGAAAGCCCCGCUACGCAGGCGCACAGGUCUGCCCUUGCCCUUCCCCCUCUUCCUAGGGUUUCUGUCCUCCGGGAUUGGAAGUAGCUGCUGCAGGGAUGCGAUCCCAAACCACCCAAAGAACAUCCAGCCUGAGCCCAAUGCUCCCUUUACUUCCUGCCCCAGGCCCCCUUUACCUCCCGCCGCUGCAGGGCAGGUGCAGAGUCCACAGCAGCCCAGAGCGCGCUCUCCACGAGGUCUCAUGCCCAGGUUCUGGGAAUCAAACCCAGGUCGUCUGGAGAAACAGCCAGUGCUUUUAACCCUGGAGCCAUCUCUCCAG
rnacentral:lncRNA from 1 species